GAUGAACGCUGGCGGCGUGCCUAAUACAUGCAAGUCGAGCGAACGGACGAGAAGCUUGCUUCUCUGAUGUUAGCGGCGGACGGGGGAGUAACACGUGGAUAACCUACCUAUAAGACUGGGAUAACUUCGGGAAACCGGAGCUAAUACCGGAUAAUAUUUUGAACCGCAUGGUUCAAAAGUGAAAGACGGUCUUGCUGUCACUUAUCGAUGGAUCCGCGCUGCAUUAGCUAGUUGGUAAGGUAACGGCUUACCAAGGCAACGAUGCGUAGCCGACCUGAGAGGGUGAUCGGCCACACUGGAACUGAGACACGGUCCAGACUCCUACGGGAGGCAGCAGUAGGGAAUCUUCCGCAAUGGGCGAAAGCCUGACGGAGCAACGCCGCGUGAGUGAUGAAGGUCUUCGGAUCGUAAAACUCUGUUAUUAGGGAAGAACAUAUGUGUAAGUAACUGUGCACAUCUUGACGGUACCUAAUCAGAAAGCCACGGCUAACUACGUG
rnacentral:rRNA from 1 species